rnacentral:rRNA from 1 species
AUUGAACGCUGGCGGCAGGCUUAACACAUGCAAGUCGAGCGGGGUGAUGGUGCUUGCACUAUCACUUAGCGGCGGACGGGUGAGUAAUGCUUAGGAAUCUGCCUAUUAGUGGGGGACAACAUCUCGCAAGGGAUGCUAAUACCGCAUACGUCCUACGGGAGAAAGCAGGGGAUCACUUGUGACCUUGCGCUAAUAGAUGAGGCUAAGUCGGAUUAGCUAGUUGGUGGGGUAAAGGCCUACCAAGGCGACGAUCUGUAGCGGGUCUGAGAGGAUGAUCCGCCACACUGGGACUGAGACACGGCCCAGACUCCUACGGGAGGCAGCAGUGGGGAAUAUUGGACAAUGGGGGGAACCCUGAUCCAGCCAUGCCGCGUGUGUGAAGAAGGCCUUAUGGUUGUAAAGCACUUUAAGCGAGGAGGAGGCUCUUUUGGUUAAUACCCAAGAUGAGUGGACGUUACUCGCAGAAUAAGCACCGGCUAACUCUGUGCCAGCAGCCGCAGUAA